rnacentral:rRNA from 1 species
AGUGAACGCUGGCGGCAGGCCUAACACAUGCAAGUCGAACGAGUGGCGGACGGGUGAGUAAUGUCUGGGAAACUGCCCGAUGGAGGGGGAUAACUACUGGAAACGGUAGCUAAUACAGCAUACCAUCGGAUGUGCCCAGAUGGGAUUAGAUAGUAGGUGGGGGAACGGCUCACCCAGGCGACGAUCCCUAGCUGGUCUGAGAGGAUGACCAGCCACACUGGAACUGAGACACGGCCCAAACUCCUACGUGAGGCAGCAGUGGGGAAUAUUGCACAAUGGGGGAAACCCUGAUGCAGCAACGCCGCGUGCGGGAUGACUGCCGUCGUGUUGUACACCGCCUUCUGCCAUGACGCGGUAGUGGCAGAAGAAGCACCGGCUAACUACGUGCCAGCAGCCGCGGUAAUUC